rnacentral:rRNA from 1 species
UACGGAGGGAGCUAGCGUUGUUCGGAAUUACUGGGCUUAAAGCGCACGUAGGCGGCUAUUCAAGUCAGAGGUGAAAGCCCGGGGCUCAACCCCGGAACUGCCUUUGAAACUAGGUAGCUAGAAUCUUGGAGAGGUCAGUGGAAUUCCGAGUGUAGAGGUGAAAUUCGUAGAUAUUCGGAAGAACACCAGUGGCGAAGGCGACUGACUGGACAAGUAUUGACGCUGAGGUGCGAAAGCGUGGGGAGCAAACAGG